rnacentral:rRNA from 1 species
UACGUAGGGGGCAAGCGUUGUCCGGAUUUAUUGGGCGUAAAGAGCUCGUAGGUGGUUUGGUUAGUCGGAUGUGAAAUCUCCAGGCUCAACCUGGAGGGGUCAUUCGAUACUGCCAUGACUAGAGGUCGGUAGGGGAGUGUGGAAUUCCUGGUGGAGCGGUGAAAUGCGCAGAUAUCAGGAGGAACACCCGUAGCGAAGGCGGCACUCUGGGCCGAUACUGACACUGAGGAGCGAAAGCGUGGGGAGCGAACAGG